GUACUUUCGCACGGUUUUGAUAAGAGAAAUUACGUUUUUCUUAAUAUAUCGGAUCCGGCCACCGGAUCCGGUGAUAUUGUUGGAUCCGGUAGGCAACGAAAACGUACCGGAUCCGCCGGAUUACCGGAUCCGCCGGACCGGAUUGCAAUCCCUAUACGCAACUGACACAGAG